rnacentral:rRNA from 1 species
AGCGGAGGAAAAGAAACUAACAAGGAUUCCCCUAGUAGCGGCGAGCGAAGCGGGAAAAGCUCAAAUUUGUAAUCUGGCGCUUUCGGCGUCCGAGUUGUAAUCUCGAGAAGUGUUUUCCGCGUCAGACCGCACACAAGUCUCCUGGAACGGAGCGUCACAGUGGUGAGAACCCAGUACACGGUGCGGAUGCCUGAUGCUUUGUGAUACACUUUCGAAGAGUCGAGUUGUUUGGGAAUGCAGCUCAAAUUGGGUGGUAAAUUCCAUCUAAAGCUAAAUAUUGGCGAGAGACCGAUAGCGAACAAGUACCGUGAGGGAAAGAUGAAAAGCACUUUGGAAAGAGAGUUAACAGUACGUGAAAUUGUUGGAAGGGAAACGCUUGAAGUCAGACUUGCUAUUCGGAGCUUGCUUCGAUUCGCAGGCCCGCAUCAGUUUUCCGGGGCGGAAAAUCGUAAGGAGAAGGUAGCAGUUUCGGCUGUGUUAUAGCUCUUUACUGGAUUCGUCCUGGGGGACUGAGGAACGCAGCGUGCUUUUUGCAUGGGCUUCGGCCCAUCCACGCUUAGGAUGCGGGUGGAAUGGGUUU